rnacentral:rRNA from 1 species
AUUGAACGCUGGCGGCAUGCUUUACACAUGCAAGUCGAACGGUAACAGGCCGCAAGGUGCUGACGAGUGGCGAACGGGUGAGUAAUGCAUCGGAACGUGCCCAGUCGUGGGGGAUAACUACUCGAAAGAGUAGCUAAUACCGCAUACGAUCUAUGGAUGAAAGCGGGGGACCGUAAGGCCUCGCGCGAUUGGAGCGGCCGAUGUCAGAUUAGGUAGUUGGUGGGGUAAAGGCUCACCAAGCCAACGAUCUGUAGCUGGUCUGAGAGGACGACCAGCCACACUGGGACUGAGACACGGCCCAGACUCCUACGGGAGGCAGCAGUGGGGAAUUUUGGACAAUGGGCGCAAGCCUGAUCCAGCAAUGCCGCGUGCAGGAAGAAGGCCUUCGGGUUGUAAACUGCUUUUGUACGGAACGAAAAGGCUCUGGUUAAUACCCGGGGCUAAUGACGGUACCGUAAGAAUAAGCACCGGCUAACUACGUG